UGGCUUUAGAACGAUCUUAAACAGACUUAAUUUUAAGUUGAAGAAACCUGUAGGAACACUUUUAUAGCUUUGGGGAGAUAUGUUGUGUGGUCAUGAUUACUUUUUGGUGGAAAAUAUAUUUUACAGGGGGAAAUGUUAGUUUUUUAAGCUUUUUAUGUUUGUAUCUGAGUUCUACGCCUGAUGGGCUUUAUUAUUAUGGUUAGAGUGCUAAUCUGAUAUGUGUAAUUAUAUAAACGUUUUGCUCAGUCAAGUGUCAACAGAAUAACAUGAAUGUUUUCAUAGUGAAUGAAUGUUGUCAUUGUAUCACCAAGGUCUGAGGAAGACAGAGUGCAGGCUCGAAAAAGACGGAGAGAGGAAAGAGUAAAACAGGGCCUGGAAGUGGUCCCUCCUAAGAAGUCCUGCCAUACUGAAUUAGUCUGUGCAGCAUCAGGAGAAUUCUCUGCUUGAGGACACCUUUGAGGCAGCAAGGUGGUGUACCACAAGGUCCUUCAAAGGAAGCCUUUCCCUUCCCCAGGUCAUCACCAUGGACAGGGAAGCUUGCCGGAGGGCAGUGGAGAGGUUAUGCUUCUGUGAUGGCCUGGAUGAAGAGGAGAUGAACGAUUGCAGGGAACCGUUCCUGUUCAUGUUUAGUUUUCAGUCAGACUAUGAGGAGUUCUGCAGAGAAAUUGAGGAAAAAAGGAAGAUGAAGGUGUUUUCUGGCUUUGAAAUGCCAUAGUACAGCGGUGUCACAGUUUUUGCAUUCUUUUUCCUCCUCACAUUGUUUUUUUGGAGGUUCUCUUGUUUUUUGUGUGCUUUGUGGUUCAUUUGUUUGUACUUUUUUUUUAUUCCUGUGUUGGCUGUUUGCUCUAUUAAAUUUACCUUUUUUGAAAAAUUUUGUCUGCAUUCUUGGGUGUCUCACACAAUGUCUCACCACCCCGCCUCAAACCCUGGCAUGUUUUAAGAAGUAUCAGCACAAUUUAAGUCUCUGGUCCUCUUAAUGUAGCUGAUAUAACUGAGUGUACAACAAAUUUACCCGUGUCUGUACUGUUUUACACUCACUUGGGAAAUGACUAUUAAAAUAAAGGCGGCAUUGAUAAAAUCAACUAUUAAAAUGGUUUUGACAGGUUUAAAGAAUAGUCUAUCAAAUGCCUGAACCUUUUAUAUAGGUACCAAAAGUAUAGCUAAAAGACACAAAUACCUAUGUGCUAUAAAUACACAUACCAUACAAAAGUAGAAAAAAGAAUAAAAAUAUCAGAACAGAUUGGAUCAAAAAUGGCGCCUGUAAUUAUCUGCUCUUUAAAAUUAUCAUGACAUCCAGCAAACAAGUCAUUUGAUUACCAAUGUUAUGCUUUACAUGGGUUUUGUGGGUUUUUAGGGCUUUCUAAUCCUUAGAAAGGGGCUACUCGCGGUUUCCUGGUUCCAUUGAGAGAGGGGCAGGAGUCAAAUAGUUGUCUCCACCCACCUCUAAACGUUUAACCCCGCCCAC